AAAUUGAAGAGUUUGAUCAUGGCUCAGAUUGAACGCUGGCGGCAGGCCUAACACAUGCAAGUCGAGCGGUAGCACAGAGAGCUUGCUCUCGGGUGACGAGCGGCGGACGGGUGAGUAAUGUCUGGGAAACUGCCUGAUGGAGGGGGAUAACUACUGGAAACGGUAGCUAAUACCGCAUAAUGUCGCAAGACCAAAGUGGGGGACCUUCGGGCCUCAUGCCAUCAGAUGUGCCCAGAUGGGAUUAGCUAGUAGGUGGG
rnacentral:rRNA from 2 species